ensembl:lincRNA
GAAGGGAUGAAGAGAUGCCCUUGUUUCCAGACUUGUCUAUCAUUCUUGAAGGAACAGAUGGGCUCCGGAGCUGGGGAAUGUGAACUACCACUCCUGAUGGCUCUGGUCACAUUGAUGACUUUGUUCUUGCCUUACACUUCAGAGCCCAGUGGUUACAGUGGCAAUGGGAGUGUAUGUCCCAGCACAAGGCAUUGCAGACCCUCCCACCUUAGCAGAAUAUAGUUCUUCCUCUGCUCCAUAAGGACUUGGAAUUCCCCAACCUGACUAGUAGAGUGGCAAUAACCAGACUCCUGUGUUUGUUGGGAGAGUUCAGAGUUCCUGAGAAACAGGUUCCCUUGAAGCCCUGCUUCCCUGGGGAAUUGGACCUGAGGCUACCCUGCCUCUGUGUCUCCACAGCUGGUGAUGAAAUGCAUGAGACCAGAAGAUGUGUCGGUGCUGUACAUCACUCAGGCCCAGGAAAUGGAGAAGCAGGGCAAGUACUGUGAGGCUGAAAGGCUCUAUGUGACAGUAGAAGAGUCUGAUCUUGCCAUCACCAUGUACAAAAAGCACAAGCUGUAUGAUGACAUGAUCCGCCUGGUUGGGAAGCACCAUCCAGAUCUCUGCAGUGACACACACCUACAUCUGGGCAAGGAGCUGGAGGCUGAAGGCCGACUACAGGAGGCCGAGUACCACUACCUCGAGGCCCAGGAAUGGAAGGCAACAGUGAACAUGUACCGAGCCAGUGGGUUUUGGGAAGAGGCCUAUGGGCUCCUUUGAAUUUGCUUUUGAACUCUCUCGGCUGGCCCUCAAGCACAAAACCCCCGAGAUCCAUCUCAAACACGCUUUGUACCUGGAGGAUGAGGUACGGGUGUUAUUUGGACCCUGACCGCAGAGCCCUCUUGUUCCAUCCCCUAGUGCACUGCUGCCUGGUGUGCAGACCCCGGUCUCAUGGCUGCCUGUGAUGCCAGUCUCCUUCCCAUCACGCACAGCUGUCCUUCUCCCUGUAGGUUAAAUUGGAAGAGGCUGAAGCUGAAUUCAUCAGAGCUGGUAAAACCAAGGAAGCAGUCCUCAUGUGAGUUACCCCAUACAUUCCUUAAUCCUGUUUCCCCAGUCCCAGUCCCAGAGUCUUUCAUGAUUAUCUUGACCUUCAUUCAAACCUAGAACAAAUCAGUGUUACACACCUCAGUGACAUGGCUGUUUGUCUCCUAGAAUUGGGGCCUCAGUCCUAUACUCAGUCUCUUCUCUGUCCCCAUCUGGGGGCAGGUUUGUCCAUAACCAGGACUGGGAGGCAGCUCAGCGUGUGGCCGAGGUUCACAUGAGGUGCUUGUGGGACAGGCUCGGAGGGCCUUGGAGGAGAAGGACGUUCAGAGAGCAGAAGGGCUGCUGCUCCGGGCCCAGAGAUCAGACCUGACUCUCAAUUAUUAUAAGGUGGGGCACUGGACUCAGGGCCAUGAGGGGAAGGGGAGAGGGUCUGAGAGCCCACAGAGAGCCACACUGACUGCUGGUAUGAAGAAAGAUCACUUUCAGAACCCGUGGGCUUGGGCAGUCGAAGAGGUCUGGGUUGGAAAGUGUGAGCUCUUCUUGGCUGUUGAGCUGAUCUGCACUGGUUCCCCCACACAGGCGGGGCAGGGCUUAGGAGAAAUUCCGGGUUUGGGGCAUUUCUUGGCCCAGUGGCCACGAUUCCCACACUUGAAGCAAGAUCCGGGCGGGGUGGCUGGAUGCGAUGCAUUCUGGGCACUUUUAAGUCUUUGUGAGCUGGUGAUGUGGCUGGGGUUUGUCUUACGGAAGAGGCAAGCAUUUGUAGUUCUGAGAUGUGCUGCUGCCGGGCAGAUUUUUCCCUGUUAUUGAACACACUCUGUAAAUGUGGUCCAGAACUGAAAUCCAUAGAUUUGUCUUGAAGCUUAGAAGCUUUGUUUGAUGAGCCAACUCUGAUGAUUUCGUGCUUUUCAAGUGUAGUAAGAAGUUGAGCGCUGCAGUUUUAUCACUUUGUAAUUGUAGCUCUUGGCUUAAUACUCCAGAUUGCACCCCUGAAAACUGUGGCUCUUUUGUAAACACUAGAGACUUCACGUCUUGCAGCCGUGUUAUUGGAUAUGCCUCUAAGGGUUUCACUUUGUGCAGCUGUGGUCUUGGGGUCAACUCAGAAGAUUUCACGUCUUGCAUGUGAAGCCCAGAUCUGAAUGCCAUAGAUUUUAUAUCAUGAAGCUUUGAUGUUGAAAUUGGGCCACAGGAUUUCACACUUCUGAACUGUAACCCAGAUUUCAAAUCAAUAGUUUUGAACCCUGGCAAUUCACAGGUUGAAGCUAUGGCUUUGCAGUGGAGCCCAAGGGUUUCGCUUGGUGCAACUGUGGACCUGGAGUCAGUUUGAGAGAUUCCAGACUUUGCAGCUGUGGUUCAUGUUUUAACUCUUUAGCUUUUACAUCUUGCAUAUUUCGGUCUGGUCAAUUCAAAUGAUUUUAUACCUUUCGACUUUGGUUCAGACUUGAGGUCUACAGAUUUUAUACCUUCAGAUUUUGACUCUGGAAUUAACUCCAAAGACAUUAUACCUUCUGACUCAGACCCUCUCUUUACUUGCUCAAAAUUCACACAUUGCUGCUCUGGUGAGUUUACAGAUACCUGACCAUCCUGUUCCGGCUCAAGGGUUAAAUCCACAAGUUUUACUUCUUCAAACUCUUGUCCUCUGGUUACAUUCACAGAUUGUACUACCAGUCUUUUCUGCCUUGGGGCAAACUCUACAGAUUUUACACUUUGCAAAUGUGGAUCUUGAGUCUCCUUUAUAGAUUUUAAACUUUGAAGCUUUAAACAUGGAGUAAUCUCCUCAAAUUUCAUAUCUUGCAUUUGUGGGACUGAAAGUCGGUUCCUCAGGUUUCAUGCUUUGUAGGUGAGGCCUUUGAAGCAUCUCCAUAGAUUUAACCCCUUGAGGCAAUGGCGCUGGUGCAAAAGCUAUAGACUUCUCACCUUGCAUCUUUAGCCCAGAUUUUAAUUUCACAGCUUUCAUAUC